AAUUACUGGGCGUAAAGAGCUCGUAGGUGGUUUGUCGCGUUGUUCGUGAAAUCUCACGGCUUAACUGUGAGCGUGCGGGCGAUACGGGCAGACUUGAGUACUGCAGGGGAGACUGGAAUUCCUGGUGUAGCAGUGGAAUGCGCAGAUAUCAGGAGGAACACCGGUGGCGAAGGCGGGUCUCUGGGCAGUAACUGACGCUGAGGAGCGAAAGCGUGGGGAGCGAACAGGAUUAGAUACCCUGGUAGUCCACGCCGUAAACGGUGGGUACUAGGUGUGGGUUUCCUUCCUUGGGAUCCGUGCCGUAGCUAACGCAUUAAGUACCCCGCCUGGGGAGUACGGCCGCAAGGCUAAAACUCAAAGAAAUUGACGGGGGCCCGCACAAGCGGCGGAGCAUGCGGAUUAAUUCGAUGCAACGCGAAGAACCUUACCUGGGUUUGACAUGCACAGGACGCCGGCAGAGAUGUCGGUUCCCUUGUGGCCUGUGUGCAGGUGGUGCAUGGCUGUCGUCAGCUCGUGUCGUGAGAUGUUGGGUUAAGUCCCGCAACGAGCGCAACCUUUGUCUCAUGUUGCCAGCGGGUAAUGCCGGGGACUCGUGAGAGACUGCCGGGGUCAACUCGGAGGAAGGUGGGGAUGACGUCAAGUCAUCAUGCCCCUUAUGUCCAGGGCUUCACACAUGCUACAAUGGCCGGUACAAAGGGCUGCGAUGCCGCGAGGUUAAGCGAAUCCUUUUAAAGCCGGUCUCAGUUCGGAUCGGGGUCUGCAACUCGACCCCGUGAAGUCGGAGUCGCUA
rnacentral:rRNA from 1 species